UACGUAGGAGGCAAGCGUUGUCCGGAAUUACUGGGCGUAAAGCGCGUGUAGGUGGUGGGACAAGUCUGCUGUGAAAGCGCCUGGCUUAACCGGGCGAGGUCGGCGGAAACUGUCCGACUCGAGGACGGUAGAGGGGGGUGGAAUUCCCGGUGUAGUGGUGAAAUUCGUAGAUAUUCGCAAGAACACCAGUGGCGAAGGCGGCUCACUGGCCCGGUACUGACGCUGAGGUGCGAAAGCGUGGGGAGCAAACAGGG
rnacentral:rRNA from 1 species